GCCCCGGUAAACGGCGGCCGUAACUAUAACGGUCCUAAGGUAGCGAAAUUCCUUGUCGGGUAAGUUCCGACCUGCACGAAUGGCGUAAUGAUGGCCAGGCUGUCUCCACCCGAGACUCAGUGAAAUUGAACUCGCUGUGAAGAUGCAGUGUACCCGCGGCAAGACGGAAAGACCCCGUGAACCUUUACUAUAGCUUGACACUGAACAUUGAGCCUUGAUGUGUAGGAUAGGUGGGAGGCUUUGAAGUGUGGACGCCAGUCUGCAUGGAGCCGACCUUGAAAUACCACCCUUUAAUGUUUGAUGUUCUAACGUUGGCCCGUAAUCCGGGUUGCGGACAGUGUCUGGUGGGUAGUUUGACUGGGGCGGUCUCCUCCUAAAGAGUAACGGAGGAGCACGAAGGUUGGCUAAUCCUGGUCGGACAUCAGGAGGUUAGUGCAAUGGCAUAAGCCAGCUUGACUGCGAGCGUGACGGCGCGAGCAGGUGCGAAAGCAGGUCAUAGUGAUCCGGUGGUUCUGAAUGGAAGGGCCAUCGCUCAACGGAUAAAAGGUACUCCGGGGAUAACAGGCUGAUACCGCCCAAGAGUUCAUAUCGACGGCGGUGUUUGGCACCUCGAUGUCGGCUCAUCACAUCCUGGGGCUGAAGUAGGUCCCAAGGGUAUGGCUGUUCGCCAUUUAAAGUGGUACGCGAGCUGGGUUUAGAACGUCGUGAGACAGUUCGGUCCCUAUCUGCCGUGGGCGCUGGAGAACUGAGGGGGGCUGCUCCUA
rnacentral:rRNA from 1 species